rnacentral:lncRNA from 1 species
AUGACCUCUCGCUCUCUGCCCACCAGAAAAGUUCCAGGAAGAAAAAUAACAUCACAAAAUGAAGAGGUGGUCCUCAACUUUGGCAGACUGAGGUUGAGUGUGAACGAACUGCGAGUCCCCAUCUGUCAUGAAGAGCACCUGUGCUUCCACACAGACCCUGGAAGGAUGAGAGAAAUCUGUCACGUGCCCCACACCACGCACCUGUCACCUGGCCAAGCUACUGAAGCGCUGUUACACGGCUACAGGGGCGCUGUUGCAUUCGUAAGUGUCCUCCAGCAAGAGGCCAAUAUACACACUCAGUACUCAGCAGUGUCUGUCUUAAUGCAUCUAAAGGCAGGACCUAAGUAACCCAGUUCCCAGAUACCAACAAGAGCUCCAGAAGCAAGAGGGCAACUCCUACCAAACACGGCACUGAAAUCACACAUCAGUCACACUUCCUCUAUAUUUAAAACUGUCAUCUGGUGAUUGAAAAGAUGGCCCGGAAGUUAAGACCAUUUGCUAUUCUUCUAGAGAACCUGCUUCUUCAGUGGACACCUGUGAACAAGUCUCUCUUUCUCUCUCUCCCUCUCCCUCUCCCUCUCCCUCUCCCUCUCCCUCUCCCUCUCCCUCUCCCUCCCCUUCUCCCUCCCCCUCCCCCUCUAACACACACACACACACACACACACUAUUUAAAAACUUAAAACUAUGCCAUGUUUAACCUAACAAAAUCUAACCCUUAUUUAUUCUUUCCCCAGGUCUCCUGCAGUCACUCAUGUAAGAAAUGCCUUCUCUCUUAGGCCUCCACAAACUCCUGAAGCUGGAGGGCGGAGGAGUAAGAGCCCGGGGACGCCAAAAUAAACGAGCAGGUGAAAGGGAAAGACCAGGGGCAUGUGAAUGGAAUAAAGUAAAUAUACUUUACUUCGAUGUAUAGACAUCUUUUCCCGUGUCCCUCCUUCCUGCAGUUUUGAAAAGUAAACACAAUUUCUCAGGUCACACCCAUGGAGAGCAGCUUUCGUGCCUCACAGGAAAGUAAGCUGAUCCUCUUCUUCUUCAGUCUCCUGUGGCCCACUGUUUCCCAACUAUCCCAGCCUACCCAUGCAACCACCAAAAACCUAUGACGUUUGUGCUGAGUUGAAAACAAAGUAAAUAUUGGUAACUAGUGAGAUGGGAAAAAUAAAGAAGAGAGUGAAGGGGCGGGUGUAAAGGGGGCUCUCCUUAGACAAGUACUUACACAUCCCUUGGUGGCUGUACCAACUGUCCCUGCUAUGAAGGUGUGGUGACCACAGAGACAAGCAUAGCUUUGGACUCGUACACCAGAGUUAGAGUUCAGCUGCACGGGUCACCGAAGCCUCCUCGGGCAUAUUGCAUAGCCUGCGCAUAUGACAGGAGUACCUAAUGGCCCCUUCUGAGAUGGUAGUCAUAGAGGGGGUUGGGGCAACAUUCCCUGAGGUCAUUAGAAUCUUUGAGAAGAGGCAGUGUGGUCCUUUGGAUUGUGGGGGAUGAAAAGAAGCUGCUUGUAUAGAGAGAGAAGAAAAAGAUGAGUCCCUGACGGAUUUCUGUACACGGCUGAACACUCCGUGGGUUAAACCUGAGGCCUGGUGUUCAUUAGAAUGUAAUAGUGUUAUCUUUAACUAAUUGCUUACAUAGGUCAGUACUGGUGGUUCACUUAUUGCUAACCAAAGCACCUCCACGUAAGUCACUCCUCGUAACCUAGCCCCUUGUGUGUUCCUUGGAGCCCUGGCUCUCCCUCCCAUUCCGACCAAGAAAGCCAGUCACCAGUUAGUGCAUAACAAACAAGGGAUUCCCUACAUCAGAGAAAUCACUCUCUACUUAAAAUGACUCAUCUCCACGCUUCCCUUGAAUAAAAACAUUUUAUUAUGUUCAAUAAAACUGCACCAAAAAAAUAAUAGCUAAAGACAGUUUUUAAAUAACUUAUACCAACACCUAAAAAGGGUUUCCUGGGGGAAAACGAAAAUAUUGGCGAGGAUAUUUUAAGAGCUUCCUCC